rnacentral:rRNA from 1 species
GUGGGGAAUUUUGGACAAUGGGCGAAAGCCUGAUCCAGCCAUGCCGCGUGCAGGAUGAAGGCCUUCGGGUUGUAAACUGCUUUUGUACGGAACGAAAAGACUCCUUCGAAUAAAGGGGGUCCAUGACGGUACCGUAAGAAUAAGCACCGGCUAACUACGUGCCAGCAGCCGCGGUAAUACGUAGGGUGCAAGCGUUAAUCGGAAUUACUGGGCGUAAAGCGUGCGCAGGCGGUGAUAUAAGACAGAUGUGAAAUCCCCGGGCUCAACCUGGGAACUGCAUUUGUGACUGUAUAGCUAGAGUACGGUAGAGGGGGAUGGAAUUCCGCGUGUAGCAGUGAAAUGCGUAGAUAUGCGGAGGAACACCGAUGGCGAAGGCAAUCCCCUGGACCUGUACUGACGCUCAUGCACGAAAGCGUGGGGAGCAAACAGGAUUAGAUACCCCUGUAGUCC